CCCGGCACAAAUUUCACAGGACUCGUGACAAGGCCAACAAACGCCACCCUGGUUUGGAAAACUCCUCGGUGGGCAUCGACUCACGCAUCAGUUCGUUAAUUGCACCCUUACGGUUCGUUGACUGCGUACAUCGUGUGUAAGCGUGUGCCAGUCAGUCUGUUAACCACUUCAUUAGAAUGAACACCCUCUUACCUUACACUGCACGUGCUCGAGGAAGCGAACCU